rnacentral:rRNA from 1 species
GACGAACGCUGGCGGCGUGCUUAACACAUGCAAGUCGAACGGAAAGGCCCUGCUUUUGUGGGGUGCUCGAGUGGCGAACGGGUGAGUAACACGUGAGUAACCUGCCCUUGACUUUGGGAUAACUUCAGGAAACUGGGGCUAAUACCGGAUAGGAGCUCCUGCUGCAUGGUGGGGGUUGGAAAGUUUCGGCGGUUGGGGAUGGACUCGCGGCUUAUCAGCUUGUUGGUGGGGUAGUGGCUUACCAAGGCUUUGACGGGGAGCCGGCCUGAGAGGGUGACCGGCCACAUUGGGACUGAGAUACGGCCCAGACUCCUACGGGAGGCAGCAGUGGGGAAUGUUGCACAAUGGGCGGAAGCCUGAUGCAGCAACGCCGCGUGCGGGAUGACGGCCUUCGGGUUGUAAACCGCUUUCGCCUGUGACGAAGCGUGAGUGACGGUAAUGGGUAAAGAAGCACCGGCUAACUACGUG